GAUGAACGCUAGCGGCAGGCCUAAUACAUGCAAGUCGAACGGUGUCUUCGGACAUAGUGGCGCACGGGUGCGUAACACGUAUGCAACCUACCUUACAUUGGGGGAUAGCCUUUCGAAAGGGAGAUUAAUACCGCAUAAGACAGUAGCUGGGCAUCCAGCAGCUGUUAAAGAUUUAUCGAUGUAAGCUGGGCAUGCGUCCAAUUAGCUAGUCGGUGAGGUAACGGCUCACCAAGGCAAUGAUUGGUAGGGGAACUGAGAGGUCAAUCCCCCACACUGGCACUGAGAUGCGGGCCAGACUCCUACGGGGGGCAGCAGUAGGGAAUAUUGGGCAAUGGCCGCAAGUCUGACCCAGCCAUGCCGCGUGCAGGAUGAAGGCGUUAUGCGUUGUAAACUGCUUUUAUACAGGAAGAAACGACUCUUGCGAGAGGCAUUGACGGUACUGUAUGAAUAAGCACCGGCUAACUCCGUGCCAGCCGCCGCCGUAACAC
rnacentral:rRNA from 1 species